UACGUAGGGGGCAAGCGUUGUCCGGAUUCAUUGGGCGUAAAGAGCGUGUAGGCGGCCAGGUAGGUCCGUUGUGAAAACUCGAGGCUCAACCUCGAGACGUCGAUGGAAACCAUCUGGCUAGAGUCCGGAAGAGGAGAGUGGAAUUCCUGGUGUAGCGGUGAAAUGCGCAGAUAUCAGGAAGAACACCUAUGGCGAAGGCAGCUCUCUGGGACGGUACUGACGCUGAGACGCGAAAAGCGUGGGGAGCGAACAGG
rnacentral:rRNA from 1 species